CCCACAUAGAUGUCUGAGGAGAUUUAAAGCUCCUUUAUAUUUAUCAAUUAUUUUACUGACAGGUGCUUCCCCAUCAGCUUAUUAUUCAUCCACAUACUGAGAAAUCUUACCACUGACACUUCCUCGAGACAUUAAUCCCAUAAGUUAAAAUCAAGUGCAAGUCUAUUAAUGCUGUUUGUAAACCACGUAAUGUGUUUUAACGACUGAAAGCUUACAAUCCUCAUCAAUCUGCCCACUGUUUGAUCUAUUAAUUGUAAAUUGCAGUUAAUACCUCAAAUCCAUAAAGCUAAGUCAUCUGUAUAUUGUGAUUUACCCAGGGAAUCCCAUUUUCCCAUCUCACAGAAAAUAUCAUUAAUCAUAAUAUUAAAUAAUGAAGGGCUACAAAUACUGCCUUGUGGGAUUCCAUUCUCUAUCUCAUAGACACAAACAUGCCGACCGUUACUUGGACAGUCCAUACAAAAAAAAACUCAGAAAAAAAUACAAUGACCCCCUUACUCCUAAUUUAAUCAAAAGUCCUUUCUUCCAUAUCAUUUCCCUUUUCAGUCUCAAUACUGCUAUUACAACAUCUUUAUUUAAUUGUGCUUUCCGAAUAUCAUCUUCCAAACCUAAAACUGAAUCUAAUGUCAUUUCACACUUCCAAAAUCCACUCUAAUAAAACACUUUAUCACCACUCUUUCCAAAAUAUAACUCAAGCGCUUGAUUACCAUACAUUCCAUAAGUUUACAUAAAUGAGACUUUCACGAUAUAGGCCCUUAACUAGAAGGAUCAAAUGGGGAUCUACCAGGUUUUCAGGCACUACUAUUUCCAUUUUCCAUGAGGAAAGUGGAUGCACAAUUCAAAUAUUUAAUAUUUUACAAAUGCAAAUUAUAUACAAUUACAAUUUCAAAUAUCACUCUUUCCUGGAGACACCUGACCUGCAUUAUUAAUAGACUUCUUCAAUUCAUACAAAGAAAUCUCUCCAUCUGUGAUACUAUCAUUGCUGCAGCAGACUUCCAACACAUCAGGGUAUUCACUGAAAAAACAUAUCCCUACAUUGUUUAACUUCUUCACUUAAAUUAUCCUGAUUAUGAAUCUCAUCAAAUGACCCAGCCAGUAACACAACCUUCCCUGUUUCAGUAACAAUCAUUUUGCCCUCAAUAAUCAACACUGGAAUAUUAUGAUCCCCACAAAUCCCCCCAUUUUCUAAAUCAUAUCCCAAACAAUUCCAAGUUUGAUAUCCCUUCCAAUAUUAUCUCCAUAUAACCUCCAGUAAAUCACCUCCUUCCUCACCACGGCCUUGGCCCUUUUAUUGUUAAUAAUGUAACUCGGAGACUGAUGCACCAUCACAUAAAAACUCACAUUUCUCCCAAUUUGCUUCCUGUCCCGUUAUAAAUCCAAAUCCAAACUCAUAAAGACAGGAAGGCUGACUGACGUUCACAUAAACUAAUCACCCUCCGAGUUCCCAUUUGAGCGACAGGCACUGCAGCCAAUGACAGCAGGCGUCAGUGUUAGGUCUGAGCUGCGAUAGGCUGGAGGAAAUCGGCCCAUGACCAGCCCCUCCUCUUCCGCUCCGUCGCCAUGGCGGAGAUCAGCGAGUCGCUUCUGUCGUUGUCGCCGGCCUCGGCGCCCACAAGGACGGGUGUGAUUCCCCUUCGCGCCUCGGUGGGUCUGUUUCGGUGGCGUCUGUGGUGGCUGACAAAACAUGCUUCGACAGGGAGCGAGCGAGGAACAAUGACUACAACUCCCAGAAGGCCCCACUGAUGACGUUGUGGUGUUGUUUAGGGGCCUUUAAAAAGGUGGCAGACAUGAGGCUGUUUAACACGCUACGAGCCCAUGGUAUUACAGAAAGAGCCCAGCACAGAUAAAGCAGUGGCUGAUUGACAGGAGGCAGAAUGUGUGAAUAAAUGGAGCGUUUUC